AUGGCAAAGAAUUGCUAAUUGCCUCUAUCACCUCACACUGGAUAAUGGCCUAAUAACAUUUGAUAAAGAAUGGAGGGAAGCCAUCAAAACCAGGAGCUUUGUCCUUAGUUAUCGCCCAAACUACUCGCCAGAUCUCCUCCUUAGACACAUCAUCAAUCAAAGAAGAGUUCUCCAUAAUGGAGAUCUAACUGAACCAAGGGGGUUG
rnacentral:lncRNA from 1 species